CCUACGGGUGGCAGCAGUGGGGAAUAUUGCGCAAUGGGCGAAAGCCUGACCCAGCGACGCCGCGUGAGGGAUGAAGGUCUUCGGAUUGUAAACCUCUUUCAGCAGGGAAGAACGGUCACUGUGCUAAUCAUCAGUGAAUUGACGGUACCUGCAAAGCAAGCACCGGCGAACUCCGUGCCAGCAGCCGCGGUAAUACGGAGGGUGCGAGCGUUAGUCGGAAUUACUGGGGGUAAAGCGCUCGUAGGCGGUAUUUCAAGUCAAAGGUGAAAUCCCCGGGCUCAACGUGGUGACUGCAUUUGAAACUGGCAAACUGGAGUGUGUGAGAGGAUAGUGGAAUUCCGGGUGUAGGGGUGAAAUGCGUAGAUAUCUGGAGGAACAUCAGUGGCGAAGGCGAAUAUCUGGCACAUAACUGACGCUGAGGAGCGAAAGCGUGGGUAGCAAACAGGAUUAGAUACCCGUGUAGUC
rnacentral:rRNA from 1 species